rnacentral:rRNA from 1 species
ACACGCAUGACACACUGCAUAUCAAUAAGCGGAGGAAAAGAAACUAACAAGGAUUCCCUUAGUAACGGCGAGUGAAGCGGGAAGAGCUCAAAUUUGAAAUCUUCAAGGUUCUACCUUGACGAAUUGUAGUUUAUAGAAGUGUUUUCUGUUAGUAGAGUGGCAAAAGUUCUUUGGAAUAGGACAUCAUAGAGGGUGAGAAUCCCGUAUUUGGUCAUUCUUCCUAGCUUUGUGAUACACUUUCAACGAGUCGGAUUGUUUGGGAAUGCAGUCCAAAAUGGGUGGUAAAUUUCAUCUAAAGCUAAAUAUUGGCGAGAGACCGAUAGCGAACAAGUACCGUGAGGGAAAGAUGAAAAGAACUUUGAAAAGAGAGUUAAACAGUACGUGAAAUUGUCAAAAGGGAAGCGUUUGACACCAGUGUUGUUUUUCCGAAAAUCAAUUACGAAUGUUUUGUUUUUAAGAAGUUAUGACUUCAUCGGCUUGCUUCUUUCUUUACGAAACUUUCUUAAUGCACUUUUCGGUUAACAAGUCAACAUCAAUUUCUUUUGUUGUAAAAGGGUAUGAGGAAGGUGGCUUUCUUUUCGGAGAAAGUGUUUAUAGCCUUGUGCCUCUGCAAUCGGAGAGAUUGAGGUCUGCAGCGUAGAUCCUUCGGGGUUAGAUACAUUUGUGCUAAGUUAUAGCUUUUCAUAGACAACUUGUUGACUAUGUUUAGUCUUGUAGCUUACUCGCUUAUGCUAUUUUACCUACGCUUAGGAUGUUGAGCGCAUGUCUCUCUCU